CAGCAAGGAGAGAUGGUGGCAAGACACUGACUUUGAAUUGGAGGAUGGGAUUGAAGACUGCUCCUGCUUCUUCCUUGGUCAAUGCAUUAAUAACCAGCUCAGAAAAUAAUAUGUCAACCAGAUUUUCUCUCUCAGCAGUGAAUAACAUCUCAGAAUACCUUGGAGGUGCUCACAACUGCGUGAAGCAAUUUCAGAUUGGAGAGUUAAGUAACUUUACCCAAGAUUACAUGACCAGGAAAUAGAGAAGGUGGGACUCUAACUGCAGUCUACAUUUUACAGGU
rnacentral:lncRNA from 10 species